UCUUCUUCUUCCCAUCUUUUCUUCUUUCCAUCUCGUCGGAAAUAUAUAUCCCACCACAAGAAGCUUCCCCCUUUCUUCAAAGCGUCGCCUUGUUGUACUCUAACCGCCGCUGUCGUCGUUUCUUUUUAUUUUUCUGUGACAACAGCCCAUCACCACUUCCGCCUCCAUCACGGCUGCCUUCAACCACCAUAGAAGCCGACAACCAUCAACACCGCCAGCCAUCAUUGUCAGCCGACUUUCUCGUUUAUAUGAUGAUACUUGGUUAGUUUGAAUAGUUUGUGUAUAAUUUUAGUUUGUAUAGUAAUGUUUGUUUAUUUUGAUAUAAUCGAUUAGAGUUUGUUAUUAAUGAAAGUUUGUUUAUAUGAAUUUUGUGUAUGAUUCUUUAUGUAAAUUAGUGGGUAUAUUAUGGAAUUUAUUUUUAUGUUUUGUA